UAUUAUUUUUUUUUUUUUUACAAAAUAGCUGAACUCUAUAGUUAGGUAUUCCAUAGUUUAUAAGGUACUCCAUAGACUGCACUGCUUUUUUAACAACCCUUGCUUCUUAUUUCUUUUUAGUCACAUCCACUGUAAGAAUAUUGUCCUAAGAAAUGGGGUAUUAUUGCUUUAUAAGGAAUUGAAUAAUGGUCAGAAGCAACUCCUAAAUCUUUGUUGACAACAUGACAGGAAAUCCUGUUUUUAUUGAACAAGUUGGUUGGGGCACAUGCUAUUACAGAUUUUAAUUAUUUCAUAAUUCAAG